ACAAGUGACUGUUGAAUGCUCAGCCUUAAAUGGCACAUCUCUAUCACUCCCAUCAAGACUCAUGGAACAUGACGAAAGAGGCAGAAAUAUGUGAGAGCCAGAGGAUGCGGAGGAGUGUUGUGGAAUGCUGUCUUCCAGACACGAUAAGCCCAUUCCUCCCGAAGUCACAGAAGUUGUAAUCAUCUUCAGAAGAUUGCAACAAGAUUGGCCCAUCAAUAUGCUAUCAUGGAGAAACUUGGGGACUCAUGAAGCCCCAUCUCUCUUUGAGGAUGUAUAGUUAAUGGUUACUGGAGCAUCCUAGUGAGGUCAACCCCUGGAGCUGUGCAGGAAGCACCACCUUUGUGAAAAGGUCUAAGAACAAGUUUGAUGAAGAAACUAAUCUUGUGGCAGAAAACUAAAAUUAAUGAACCAACGCUAUCGCUAUUUGUAGGAAAUGAUGAAAAACUGCAUAGUUAAAAUAAAUAAAGAAGGGCUUUGGGAAAGAACUGUCUCGAUUUGCAUAAUCUACUUGUGUUACAAUUCAACCUCAAACACUGGAGGGGAAAAAAGGAAGAAAAUAAUGUUAACACAGCUUAAAAUGCACAUGUCAAACUCAGCUUCAUUAAAAAAAUCUAUUUCUCAUUAAUUAAUAA